rnacentral:lncRNA from 1 species
CCCUCCCUUCCCCCGCCAAUUUUACCCUAAUUCCCAAACUUUUUCUCACUUCAGUUUAGCGCUAAUUCACAAAUUACUCAAAUCACCUAAAUUCUUUUGAAUAUCUACCAUUUUUUGAAAGAUGGGAAGCAAAAAUGGUGGAUAUGGCUGACAAUAGCAGUGUCGUUAAUGAUAUUGGUUUUCCACGGUGACAUUGUUACUUUAUUUCUUUUGGUUAUUUUUUUGGUUGAAAUUUGAUCUAAUAAUAGAUAAAUGAUGUUGUAGGCUAUGGCGUGGAUGGCAGUUGAUUCAUGACUGAAGUUUCACUUCUUUUCUUUCUUCCAUAUUGAAUUUCGUCACUGAUUAACGGUGCAAAAGGUACCAACUUUCUUAUAUUUUUGGGUUUCAUUUUCUAUGGUAAGAUAUGGCCGAUCCCCUGCUACACUUGUUAUUGGUUUCAUCUUUUAGAGUUAAAUGUAAAGAUUGGGAAAUUUCUUCAGAGUUCUAUUCUGUGUUCUUUUUCAUCACUAUGUGAUUGAAUUCUAUUCAUCUAUUUGUUUUCAUCUUAUGCAAUUGAAUUCUUUUUACUUCAUCUUUAGGUAGAGAUGUCAAUGGAAUGUAUUAAUGAUUCUUUUGAACAAAGCUCUUCGAUUACACAAAAACGAACAAAAAGACAAAUGCCUAUUGUUUGGGAUUCUUUUGUUAAGGUAAUAGAGCGUAGUAUUUAUAAUGAUGGAAAGAUUAAAGUCAAAUGUACGCUUUGUGAAAAAGACUAUAUAUACGAUUCUAAAUUUGGAACAUCAAAUUUGAAGCGUCAUUUGGUUUUGAAACAUCCAUUGGAUAAUACAAAAGAGGGACAAAGUGCACCAAUAGAUCAAAAAAUUUAUCAGGAGAAAAUGUCAUCGGCCAUAGUCAGGCAUAACUAUGCUUUCAAUUUUGUUGUACAUAAAGGCAUCAAGAACCUUCAUUUAUACUUAAAUCCGGUUGUCAAGCACAUAUCAAGAAACACAACCAAGCAAGAUAUCUUAAAUAUGUAUGCAGGGGAAAAAGAACUUUGGAAAAGUGAGCUUGCAGUUAUUCCUAGUAGAGUAUGUUUAACACCAGACAUGUGAACUUGAGUAGCAUCUAAUGGGUAUAUGUGCGUUACGGCCCAUUAUGUAGAUUUAAAUUGGGUUCUUCAGAAGGGAGUGUUGAUUUUUCAUCAUGUUCCUCCUCUACAUUCGGGCGCGGUUUUAGGUCCCUUAUUGAUUAGCUUUCUUAAAGAACGGGGAAUCGAAAAGAAAAUCUUUACCCUUACUUUUGAUAAUGCUACUUGCAAUAAUGGUGUAGUGAAUAAUUUAAAAAAUCAUUUAUCUUUGAUGCGUUCACUAGUUUGCGAGGGAAAGUAUCUUCAUGUCCAUUGUGGGAAUUAUAUUCUGAACUUAAUUGUUAAGACGGGCUUAGAGAAGGCUGAUGCAGCUAUUACAAAAAUUAGAGAAGGUGUUAAGUAUAUCAAGAAUUCAGAAACAAGAAUAAUGAAAUUUGUGGAGUGUUUGAGUAAUCUUGUUCUACCAUGUUCUAAGAAGCUAUGCCAAUGCUGAGACAAAGCUAUGUACUAUGAAUUAGGUUUGUGGAAGAAAAGGUAAAUUAAUCUUCUUGAUUUAUUUUAAAUCAACCAUGUUCUAAGAAGCUACACCAAGAUAUGCCUAUUCGGUGGAAUUCCACUGUAUGGUUAGGUCAUUUAUUUUCUCCAGGAUUUAGUCUAUACUGUUGUGCAAUGGUUUCAUCUGUGGGAUAUACAUUAGAUAAUCUAUCCUGAUAUCAUGGUAAUCCUAGACUAAACAAGGCUAAAGUAACAUAUUUGCUUUUCCUUGUUUUCUUGAUUAGGAGAAAUAAUCAAAUAUCUUUUCCCUGUUUUCUCUAUUGGUUUUUCUAAAACUUAACAAGUCAGAUAUAAUCAGUUCAAGACUAGUUUCCCCCUAAUGGUUUGGUGAAUUGAUUGAUGCACAUGGCGACCGUUUGAAUAUCAUGUUCAGAAUUUGCUAUUUGAGGUUUCAAGUUUCCCAAACAAAUCUCCAUAAUAGCGCGAACCAUAUUAGGGAAAACAUGAUAUUAAGGGUGAUGCUUAUUGCUAGUUCUUGUUUGAUGGUAAUAUCUGAUAUUGAAGCUAUCCUUCAAAAAUUUUAGGUACUAUUUGUGGUCAGCUUCAUGGAUUCUCCAGUCUAUUGUAUCAUCAUUUAAGGGUUCCUCUGUUUUUGCCGACGAGAAGCAAAGCAAUGUUUUGUGAAACUGCAGAUUAUGUUGGAUGAACACUCAGGUACAUGGUCAGACAUGAUAUUCUUGGUCAAAGUUCUGCUUUCUGCCACAAGUUGCAUCGGCUACCACAACAUUUUUAUCGUCUUCAAAUGACUGUUGUCAACUGGAUACACUAUUACAAUGUCCUAAGGGUCUACUUUUGUGCAUUUUGCUUUGUAAACACUUUAUAAGUAUUUUGCCGGUGGUUAAAAUAUAUUCUGUUGGUACAUUUUGACGUAUUUUGCUGGUGUAUUUCAAUGUAUGUUGCUCAUUUGCUGCUAUAUCUAGUGACGAAAGAAAGAGUUUGAUUUACUGAUUUUGUUGUAGUUAUAAAAUGUGAACCAUUACAAAUUGUUGGGAAAGUAUUUUAAUUUUUAGCAAAUGCAGCUUUAUGACUUUUGUUAAUGAAAUCUUGGAUCCUUUUUGUUC